GACGGAGGGUGCUAGCGUUGUUCGGAAUCACUGGGCGUAAAGGGCGCGUAGGCGGCCUUGCAAGUCGGUUGGUGAAAGCCCGGGGCUCAACCCCGGAGGUGCGGCCGAGACUGCAGGCUGGAGGCCGGAAGAGGAGGGUGGAAUACCCAGUGUAGAGGUGAAAUUCGUAGAUAUUGGGUGGAACAUCGGUGGCGAAAGCGGCGUCUCUGGUCCGGACCUGACGCUGAGGCGCGAAAGCGUGGGGAGCAAACAGG
rnacentral:rRNA from 1 species